AACGAACGCUGGCGGCGUGCUUAACACAUGCAAGUCGAACGGAGUUACGUAUGAAGUAUUUCGGUACGGACUAUGUAACUUAGUGGCGAACGGGUGAGUAACACGUGGGCAACCUGCCCUUAACCGGGGGAUAACAUUGUGAAAACAGUGCUAAUACCGCAUAACAGAGUAUCGGGCAUCCGAUAUUUUUAAAAGGAGCAAUCCGGUUUUGGAUGGGCCCGCGUCCAAUUAGCUAGUUGGUGAGGUAACGGCUCACCAAGGCUACGAUUGGUAGCCGAACUGAGAGGUUGAUCGGCCACAUUGGGACUGAGACACGGCCCAGACUCCUACGGGAGGCAGCAGUGGGGAAUAUUGGGCAAUGGGCGAAAGCCUGACCCAGCGACGCCGCGUGAAGGAUGAAGGUCUUCGGAUUGUAAACUUCUUUGAUCAGGGAAGAAAGAAAUGACGGUACCUGAAGAACAAGCCACGGCUAACUACGUG
rnacentral:rRNA from 1 species